rnacentral:rRNA from 1 species
GCCUACGGCCAUACCACCCUGAGAACGCCCGAUCUCGUCUGAUCUCGGAAGCUAAGCAGGGCCGGGCCCGGUUAGUACUUGGAUGGGAGACCGCCUGGGAAUACCGGGUGCUGUAGGCA